UGCUCUCUGAUGGCGAGUGGCGAACGGGUGAGUAACAUAUCGGAACGUACCUAGUAAUGGGGAACAACCAGCCGAAAGGUUGGCUAAUACCGCAUACGACCUACGGGUGAAAGCAGGGGAUCUUCGGACCGGUCACUAUUGGAGGAGCCUGCGUAGGAUUAGCUAGUUGGUGAGGUAAAGGCUCACCAAGGCGACGAUCCUUAGCUGGUCUGAGAGGACGACCAGCCACACUGGAACUGAGACACGGUCCAGACUCC
rnacentral:rRNA from 1 species